UGGCUUCGGUAAUCCCUCCAGGCAC
rnacentral:piRNA from 1 species